ACACGACUCAAUUUACCGAUUUCCCGUUGAUGGUGAUCUUCACCGGUCCUCGAUCGAUAGGAAUCCUCCAAUCGAUCUCGCCGCAACUCCUCGCAGCGUCAACGCCUCAACUCCUCGAAGCGUCCACCGAAUCCUCAGCUACACGCGAGCUCCACGCACCGAAUCUCCUUCCGGAGAUUGUAGAAUCGAAGAUUUAUGGUGAUUAAGCUUUAGAAUCCCAUAAGCUAUGAGGGUCCGU
rnacentral:lncRNA from 1 species